AAUUUAAAUUCGAACACAGUGGACUUUAACCAUCGACAUCAACGGUAAAGAACAGGAAAAAAUAUUCAAAUUGGAAGUUUUGCCACCGGUCCCCAAACCUGUGAUAAAAAUAGAGAAGAUUGAAGUUAACCCUGAUGCGGUGUAUUUAAUAUGUGAGUACAGUGAAACGAUCAUCUGGAAUAAUUCUACUGGAGAAACACUGCAGGGUUCACCCCACUAUCCGAAUGGAAAACUUAUCACAGUUGAAAAACAAGGAAAUCCAGAUUUCUUCUACACAUGCACACUCGAGAAUGCAGUGAGUGAGCGCACCAGUGAUCCGGUCUAUGAGAGAGAUCUGUUUGAAGACAGCCUUUACUAGCAGUACAACAUUAUUAAUCAGAGAGAACAUGUUUAGCAAUCUAAUAAAUCUCUGUGUAACUUUAUUAUCACCCUUUUCCUGAUUAUAAUUCCUUUUCAUGACACUAUUAUUGUGAAAUCUUUUAAAACAUUUGAAAUGUGUUUUCUAAUAUUCUGUGCAUUGCUUUGUAAAUCCGAAAACACACAUUUAUGAAUAACAUGAAUGUCCUCAAUAUAUGAAUGAAUACGAAUACAUAUGAAAAUAAUAUUUUUUGUUCAAGGAAGGACAAUAUAAUAAUUUCUUAAUGGCACCAUAGCUUUGCUUUUGGACUGGGUGAAGAGUAGAUGAUGUAUUCUUUUCUGUUAAAUUUAGAUACCUAUGCAAUGGGAUUGAUUUGUUUUUCUUCAGGGAAUGCAUGAACUAAUUGCAUGGUAAGCCUAUAUAUUGAAUGUAAAUCAUUUUAAAUAAAAUCAUCUGGCAAAAGUAAAACAUGUUAAGAUUUUUUAAAUUCAUAAAUUCAAAUUCAGGAGGAGAUUUAGGGUAUCUUCAGAAAAGUAUUUCAGUUGGGAAUUUACAAUGAUAAUGUUUUCCCUGCUUUUCUCAGUUGAAAUAAAAAUUAUCUUUCUCUGGUG